CCUACGAGAGGCAGCAGUGAGGAAUAUUGGUCAAUGGACGCAAGUCUGAACCAGCCAUGCCGCGUGCAGGAAGACGGCUCUAUGAGUUGUAAACUGCUUUUGUACGAGGGUAAACGCAGAUACGCGUAUCUGUCUGAAAGUAUCUUACGAAUAAGGAUCGGCUAACUCCGUGCCAGCAGCCGCGGUAAUACGGAGGAUUCAAGCGUUAUCCGGAUUUAUUGGGUUUAACGGGUGCGUAGGCGGUCGGAGAAGUUAGAGGUGAAAUCCCGAGGCUCAACUUCGGAAUUGCCGCUGAUACUGUUCGGCUAGAGAGUAGUUGCGGUAGGCGGAAUGUAUGGUGUAGCGGUGAAAUGCUUAGAGAUCAUACAGAACACCGAUUGCGAAGGCAGCUUACCAAGCUACUUCUGACGUUGAGGCACGAAAGCGUGGGGAGCAAACAGGAUUAGAUACCCCUGUAGUC
rnacentral:rRNA from 1 species